rnacentral:lncRNA from 1 species
ACGGGGGUGCUGGGCUGCUGACCUGUCCUGGAUUCUUGAUGAUUUAACUCAGUGCAGGACAUUUUCGCCAAGGCUGGGGGAGGCGGGUGCAAACCAGGGUUGAACCCUGGCUCAGGUUAAUGGCUUCACUAUGGGCUUCCCUCUCCCCGGCAGCAAUGAUCCUGCUGCUGUGAAUGACGUGGGAGUCUCUGUCCCUCCCUAUCCCAAACUCCUGCUCNCUGUGAAUGACGUGGGAGUCUCUGUCCCUCCCUAUCCCAAACUCCUGCUCGGUGUUAUGUGUGGCUGUUCCCCAGCUGCCCCACCCCAGAGGUGGCUGCAUCUCAGGGCCGGCUGAGCUCUCUGGGGCUGGGGUAGCUCAGGGAUUCGUCUCUCUCUCUUCUCUCUCCAGAUGGCCAUGGACCCCGGGAUCCCUUCUCCUACGGUGAGUGGGGCCACUCGUGUGGCUGCCUUGUGGGCUGAUGUCUCUGCGCUGCUGGGAGGGGGCUCCACGGUUGGGCAUCCCCUGUUGGGGGGGGCACUGCCCAGCAGGGAUCCCCCCGGUUCCCCCAGGCCCAGCUCCUAGCUGGGGUGUCUGCUGGAACAUGGGGCUUCACUAGAGCUUGAGGGAGCUGGGGGGCAGGGGUAGUGGGCUGCGGGGGGAGGGAGCUGGGGGGCUGUCUGUCUCUGACCCCCCCUCUCCUCUCAGACUACGACACCUUGCGCGUGGUUGGCCUCGUCCUGGCCAUUGUCAUGUUCGUGGUGGGCAUCCUGACAGCGCUGACCUAUCGGAGGCCAGGCAACCGGGAAAGACCCCAACUCCAGCAGGCAGCGCGUAGGCCUGGUGCCUGGGAUGUAGCGCCCCCCUCUGGCUGGGGGGUGCAGACCCUGCUGCCCCCCCCUCGCCCAGGACGGUCCAAGACCUCAGCUCCAGCGCCCGGCGACACCCGUGGGGGCAGGGAAGGGGAAGCCCUGUUAUCUGAGCCCCCGUCUUUUAGAACCUCUGCCUCCAAUUGGCUAGCGAGCCCAUUGCAUGCUGGGAGCAGGCACCAUAUGCAGGGAGGGGGGUGUCCCUUAGCCUCACUUGGCCCCCCCAUCUUGAUCCACUGGGUCCCCUUCACUUCCUGUCCCCCCCAGCGCAUUUGACCCCCCCAUGCCAUGACUGCUUUGCUUACGGCACCCCCCUCCCCGCUGCAUUGGGGGGGUGCUCCUUGUGGGGGGAACGGACACACAUCACCAACACAUACCCCCAGGCCCAGACGUGGGCCCCACCUGGGCAGGGGGCCCUGAUGCUGACAGGGUGCUGCUUUCAUGACGUGUUUUCAGCCACCCGCAGGGGGCGCCACCCCGUGGCUGCCCCCUCCACCCCCAUGCACGGGGCAGAGCAGAUCCAGUGCUCAAUAAACAUAGGGUUGUUUCUUACUGG